GAGUUUGAUCGUGGCUCAGGAUGAACGCUGGCGGCGUGCCUAAUACAUGCAAGUCGAACGAACAGAUAAGGAGCUUGCUCCUUUGACGUUAGCGGCGGACGGGUGAGUAACACGUGGGUAACCUACCUAUAAGACUGGGAAUAACUCCGGGAAACCGGGGCUAAUGCCGGAUAACAUGUUGAACCGCAUGGUUCUACAGUGAAAGACGGUCUUGCUGUCACUUAUAGAUGGACCCGCGCCGUAUUAGCUAGUUGGUGGGGUAACGGCCUACCAAGGCGACGAUACGUAGCCGACCUGAGAGGGUGAUCGGCCACACUGGAACUGAGACACGGUCCAGACUCCUACGGGAGGGCAGCAGUAGGGAAUCUUCCGCAAUGGGCGAAAGCCUGACGGAGCAACGCCGCGUGAGUGAUGAAGGUCUUCGGAUCGUAAAGCUCUGUUGUUAGGGAAGAACAAAUGUGUAAGUAACUGUGCAUAUCUUGACGGUACCUAACCAGAAAGCCACGGCUAACUACGUGCCAGCAGCCGCCGUAA
rnacentral:rRNA from 1 species